UACGUAGGUGGCGAGCGUUAUCCGGAAUCAUUGGGCGUAAAGAGGGAGCAGGCGGCCGCAAGGGUCUGUGGUGAAAGACCGAAGCUAAACUUCGGUGAGCCAUGGAAACCGGGCGGCUAGAGUGCGGAAGAGGAUCGUGGAAUUCCAUGUGUAGCGGUGAAAUGCGUAGAUAUAUGGAGGAACACCAGUGGCGAAGGCGACGGUCUGGGCCGCAACUGACGCUCAUUCCCGAAAGCGUGGGGAGCAAAUAGG
rnacentral:rRNA from 1 species